rnacentral:sRNA from 1 species
UUUUUUCUUACAUUUUUAUUUUCUUAGGCUAAUUCUAAAGAUCACUUUUAAACAAAACAAAGGAUCCCAUCCCACUAUAUUAUUUGGGAAGUAUAUUUUAAAUAUAACCUUAAUUUUUGUAAGUAAUUACAUAGGUAUGCCAUUAGAAAUAAAAAUUU